rnacentral:rRNA from 1 species
UACGUAGGAGGCAAGCGUUGUCCGGAUUUAUUGGGCGUAAAGAGCGUGUAGGCGGCCAGGUAGGUCUGCUGUGAAAACUCGAGGCUCAACCUCGAGACGUCGGCGGAAACCAUCUGGCUAGAGUCCGGAAGAGGAGAGUGGAAUUCCUGGUGUAGCGGUGAAAUGCGCAGAUAUCAGGAAGAACACCCGUGGCGAAGGCGGCUCUCUGGGACGGUACUGACGCUGAGACGCGAAAGCGUGGGGAGCGAACAGG